rnacentral:rRNA from 1 species
UACGAAGGGGGCUAGCGUUGCUCGGAAUCACUGGGCGUAAAGGGUGCGUAGGCGGGUCUUUAAGUCGGGGGUGAAAUCCUGGAGCUCAACUCCAGAACUGCCUUUGAUACUGAGGAUCUUGAGUUCGGGAGAGGUGAGUGGAACUGCGAGUGUAGAGGUGAAAUUCGUAGAUAUUCGCAAGAACACCAGUGGCGAAGGCGGCUCACUGGCCCGAUACUGACGCUGAGGCACGAAAGCGUGGGGAGCAAACAGG